rnacentral:lncRNA from 1 species
CUUCAGGUGUAGAUGCUCAAGCACCGACGGAUGAUGGCACAAUGGCGACAAUACGUGAUGCUAUUGCCGCGAGCAUCGUGCCUUCGGAUUAGUUGUUAUGUGGUUUUUAUAUUUAAUGUCCUUUUGUGGAAAUCCAACAUUUAUGUAAUAUUUUUGGGUACUCUAAAGUAUCAAAGACACCACGCAUUAUUAAUUUUAAUAUUUUGCUAUUAUUAUUUUUAUUUUUAUUUUAUCGUUUUAUCCGAUAUACGUGUAUUACAAUUAGUCAAAUAGCUAAGACAAUUUCGGAGCAGGGGUAUUACAGACUUUUCAACAGACAAUUCAUAUAAUAAGCUGAGAUGCCAAAAGCCGAAAAGAACUGGACUGCAAGUUUGUCAGGAGCUUCUCCCCACCACAGUUUCUGGGGGUAGAGAAGCUGAAACCGUUUCUGGAGAAGCUGAAGCCGAAAAGAAGGCACAGCUUUUUAUUAAGCAAAUUGCGUCGAAAAUAUUAAGUAUGAAGCCGAAAAUAUUAAGCAAAUCUCCAGAAGCGGAUAUGUUUCUUGGGGGUAGAUUUGCUUAAUAUUAAGCAAAUCUAUGAUCUACAUACUUCUGCCCUUGUAUCUUUUUAUGUCGAAGCUUAAUCAGGUAGCCCCGAGGUAACUAACCUGCCUCGUUUUUAUCUGAUUUAUUCAUUUCUGAGUACAGAUCAGGGCUUGGUCAUCUCCUUUUAAAAUUGAGUAAAUUGCGUCCUGAUUUCUCAUUUUUUGUUUAAGGGUUACUAUGGUGAAGUUCUCUAUUUUUAGUUAGAUAUCAGUUGAUGCGAUGGUGGUCCUCUAGAAGAGGGGGGAAUGGGGAUGGCAUGCAAAUCUAGUGUGU